UGAAAAGAAGCACAUGCUGCUGCGGCGCAGACAGAGCGUGCCCGUCUGCUCCAGUGAUGCUGUGGCCUAAUUUCUACCUCUCUUGUGCUGGAUACAAAAGGGAACAUCUCCAGAGCUGAGGUUAGAUGGGUUCAAGUCUACAGAUCAUAAAAUCCGGAAUGUAACUACAAAAAUUUGAAAAUCUAACAGACAGACCUUGACAGUCACACAGUCAAAUCACAUACAGCAGCCAAGGAAAAUUAACAGGAAUAUCCUCUGCAAUCCAGUAGAAAGGGUAAUCUAUCAAGACCUGAGAAACAGAAUCUUCAGAAUAAAGCAACCACCACUGCUGUCAGACAGCAACAAAGAACACUUUUAAUGGGCAAUCUCAAAGAUCAGACUUAGUGCUGGUGCCUGACUCACAUCUACUGAUAACAGAGCACUGUUCCUGCUGCUGAAACCAAGUCUGAGUCAGCAUUCCCAUCACAACUUUCUGUUUCUAAAGGUUUAUAACUUCACCAGAAGUUGACUCUGGGUUAGAGGUUAGCAAGGAUAUGGAACACUUAAUUUUCACACUUUUAUCUCACAUGUAGGCAGAUUUUUUUCUUCUGGGUUUUGUCAGUUAAGUGUUCCAUCAGAAGGACAAUGGCUUCAGAUGGUUUCUGUAAAUGAGAAAUGUCAUGUAAGAAAGAACAAUGUCCUUGCACUUAAGGGCCAAGCCAGAACUGCAGUCCCUUUAUGCUCCACUUUGCUGUUUCCAGCACCCUUUGGACAUCAGCCACCCCAGAAAAAGAACUGGACACUUGGGUGAGAACAAUAGCAGAGCUGUUCCUUAAACAUCUCCUGUGCCAGCCAGUCCCACUCAUCUGGCAGCUCCACACUGCCCUCCAGGGAGGGCCACCAUCAAACUUACCGUGUUUCCCUCAGUUUCCCACUGGCAGGAGAGAAUUCCUUGGGAGGAAACACAUAAAAUACAGCUGACAUAAACAUGAAAAUGUGUAUAUCUUAUGACAUAAAA